rnacentral:rRNA from 1 species
ACAGCAGCAGCCGCGGUAAUACGUAGGGUGCGAGCGUUGUCCGGAAUUAUUGGGCGUAAAGAGCUUGUAGGCGGUCUGUCGCGUCUGCUGUGAAAACCCGAGGCUCAACCUCGGGCCUGCAGUGGGUACGGGCAGACUAGAGUGCGGUAGGGGAGAACGGAACUCCUGGUGUAGCGGUGGAAUGCGCAGAUAUCAGGAAGAACACCGAUGGCGAAGGCAGUUCUCUGGGCCGUAACUGACGCUGAGAAGCGAAAGCGUGGGGAGCGAACAGGAUUAGAUACCCCCGUAGUCCCUGUCUCUUAUAC